UACGUAGGGUGCUAACGUUGUUCGGAAUCACUGGGCAUAAAGAGCGCGUAGGCAGUCUGAUAAGUCAGGUGUGAAAUCCCCCGGCUCAACCGGGGAACUGCACCUGAUACUGUUGGGCUUGAGUGCAGGAGGGGAGAGCGGAAUUCCAGGUGUAGCGGUGAAAUGCGUAGAUAUCUGGAGGAACACCGGUGGCGAAGGCGGCAUCCUGGACCGGUAUUGACGCUGAGGCGCGAAAGCUAGGGGAGCAAACGGG
rnacentral:rRNA from 1 species